CUUAAGUGGGGAAUAACGCAUCGAAAGAUGUGCUAAUACCGCAUAAUCUCUGAGGAGGAAAGCAGGGGAUCGUAAGACCUUGCGCUUUUGGAGCGGCCGAUGUCUGAUUAGCUAGUUGGUGGGGUAAUGGCCUACCAAAGCUUCGAUCAGUAGCUGGUCUGAGAGGACGGCCAGCCACACUGGGACUGAGACACGGCCCAGACUCCUACGGGAGGCAGCAGUGGGGAAUUUUGGACAAUGGGCGCAAGCCUGAUCCAGCCAUGCCGCGUGAGUGAAGAAGGCCUUCGGGUUGUAAAGCUCUUUCAGCCGGGAAGAAAAGGCUGCGACUAAUAAUCGCAGUUCAUGACGGUACCGGAAGAAGAAGCACCGGCUAACUACGUGCCAGCAGCCGCGGUAAUACGUAGGGUGCGAGCGUUAAUCGGAAUUACUGGGCGUAAAGGGUGCGCAGGCGGUUUUGUAAGUCAGAUGUGAAAUCCCCGGGCUUAACCUGGGAACUGCGUUUGAAACUACAAGGCUAG
rnacentral:rRNA from 1 species